rnacentral:rRNA from 1 species
UCGAGAAUUUUUCACAAUGGGCGCAAGCCUGAUGGAGCGACGCCGCGUGGGGGAUGAAUGGCUUCGGCCCGUAAACCCCUGUCAUUUGCGAUCAACCGUUAUUAUUUAAAAGAUGAUAACCUGAUAGUAGCGAAAGAGGAAGGGACGGCUAACUCUGUGCCAGCAGCCGCGGUAAUACAGAGGUCCCAAGCGUUGUUCGGAUUUACUGGGCGUAAAGGGUGCGUAGGUGGCGGUGUAAGUCGGAUGUGAAAUCUCCGAGCUCAACUCGGAAACUGCAUUGGAAACUACAUUGCUCGAGGGUUGGAGGGGGGACUGGAAUACUUGGUGUAGCAGUGAAAUGCGUAGAUAUCAAGUGGAACACCAGUGGCGAAGGCGAGUCCCUGGACAACUCCUGACACUGAGGCACGAAAGCUAGGGGAGCAAACAG